UGGCUCAGAGGUUAAAGCAUCUGCCUCCAAUGCGGGAGACCCAGGUUCGAUCCCUGG
rfam:Ovis aries breed Texel chromosome 12, whole genome shotgun sequence.